ACUCAAAUGAAUUGACGGGGGCCCGCACAAGCAGUGGAGUAUGUGGUUUAAUUCGAAGCAACGCGAAGAACCUUACCAGGGCUUGACAUCCCUCGAAGGUUGUAGAAAUACAACUGUCCUACGGGACGAGGAGACAGGUGGUGCAUGGUUGUCGUCAGCUCGUGUCGUGAGAUGUUGGGUUAAGUCCCGCAACGAGCGCAACCCCUGUUGUUAGUUGCCAUCAAGUGAAGUUGGGCACUCUAACGAGACUGCCGGUGACAAAUCGGAGGAAGGUGGGGACGACGUCAAAUCAUCAUGCCCCUUAUGUCCUGGGCUACACACGUACUACAAUGGCUACUACAGAGGGAAGCGAGGCCGCAAGGCAGAGCAAAUCCCAAAAAGGUAGUCCCAGUUCGGAUUGUAGGCUGCAACUCGCCUACAUGAAGUCGGAAUUGCUAGUAAUGGCAGGUCAGCAUACUGCCGUGAAUACGUUCCCGGGCCUUGUACACACCGCCCGU
rnacentral:rRNA from 1 species